UACAGAGGGUGCAAGCGUUGUUCGGAAUUAUUGGGCGUAAAGCGUGCGCAGGCGGUCUGUUAAGACCGAUGUGAAAUCCCCCGGGCUUAACCUGGGAACUGCAUUGGUGACUGGCAGGCUUUGAGUGUGGCAGAGGGAGGUAGAAUUCCACGUGUAGCAGUGAAAUGCGUAGAGAUGUGGAGGAAUACCGAUGGCGAAGGCAGCCUCCUGGGCCAACACUGACGCUCAUGCACGAAAAGCGUGGGGGAGCAAAACAGG
rnacentral:rRNA from 1 species